UCCCUGGUGGUCCAAUGGUUAAAAACUCUGCCUUCCAAUGCAAGGGGUGCAGGUUCAAUCCCUGUCUGGGGAA
rnacentral:tRNA from 1 species